rnacentral:rRNA from 1 species
GAGUUUGAUCCUGGCUCAGGAUGAACGCUGGCGGCGUGCCUAAUACAUGCAAGUCGAGCGAACGGACGAGAAGCUUGCUUCUCUGAUGUUAGCGGCGGACGGGUGAGUAACACGUGGAUAACCUACCUAUAAGACUGGGAUAACUUCGGGAAACCGGAGCUAAUACCGGAUAAUAUUUUGAACCGCAUGGUUCAAAAGUGAAAGACGGUCUUGCUGUCACUUAUAGAUGGAUCCGCGCUGCAUUAGCUAGUUGGUAAGGUAACGGCUUACCAAGGCAACGAUGCAUAGCCGACCUGAGAGGGUGAUCGGCCACACUGGAACUGAGACACGGUCCAGACUCCUACGGGAGGCAGCAGUAGGGAAUCUUCCGCAAUGGGCGAAAGCCUGACGGAGCAACGCCGCGUGAGUGAUGAAGGUCUUCGGAUCGUAAAACUCUGUUAUUAGGGAAGAACAUAUGUGUAAGUAACUGUGCACAUCUUGACGGUACCUAAUCAGAAAGCCACGGCUAACUACGUGCCAGCAGCCGCGGUAAUACGUAGGUGGCAAGCGUUAUCCGGAAUUAUUGGGCGUAAAGCGCGCGUAGGCGGUUUUUUAAGUCUGAUGUGAAAGCCCACGGCUCAACCGUGGAGGGUCAUUGGAAACUGGAAAACUUGAGUGCAGAAGAGGAAAGUGGAAUUCCAUGUGUAGCGGUGAAAUGCGCAGAGAUAUGGAGGAACACCAGUGGCGAAGGCGACUUUCUGGUCUGUAACUGACGCUGAUGUGCGAAAGCUGGGGAUCAAACAGGAUUAGAUACCCUGGUAGUCCACGCCGUAAACGAUGAGUGCUAAGUGUUAGGGGGUUUCCGCCCCUUAGUGCUGCAGCUAACGCAUUAAGCACUCCGCCUGGGGAGUACGACCGCAAGGUUGAAACUCAAAGGAAUUGACGGGGACCCGCACAAGCGGUGGAGCAUGUGGUUUAAUUCGAAGCAACGCGAAGAACCUUACCAAAUCUUGACAUCCUUUGACAACUCUAGAGAUAGAGCCUUCCCCUUCGGGGGACAAAGUGACAGGUGGUGCAUGGUUGUCGUCAGCUCGUGUCGUGAGAUGUUGGGUUAAGUCCCGCAACGAGCGCAACCCUUAAGCUUAGUUGCCAUCAUUAAGUUGGGCACUCUAAGUUGACUGCCGGUGACAAACCGGAGGAAGGUGGGGAUGACGUCAAAUCAUCAUGCCCCUUAUGAUUUGGGCUACACACGUGCUACAAUGGACAAUACAAAGGGCAGCGAAACCGCGAGGUCAAGCAAAUCCCAUAAAGUUGUUCUCAGUUCGGAUUGUAGUCUGCAACUCGACUACAUGAAGCUGGAAUCGCUAGUAAUCGUAGAUCAGCAUGCUACGGUGAAUACGUUCCCGGGUCUUGUACACACCGCCCGUCACACCACGAGAGUUUGUAACACCCGAAGCCGGUGGAGUAACCUUUUAGGAGCUAGCCGUCGAAGGUGGGACAAAUGAUUGGGGUGAAGUCGUAACAAGGUAGCCGUAUCGGAAGGUGCGGCUGGAUCACC